AAGGGAUGGAUUGCCGUAUUGUGGGUCUCAGUUGAAACACCUGAUGUGCAUAGUCUAAAUUCAGCUGUUUAUUCAACAUGACGUCCUCUUCACUUUUUUCUUCUCACUUCUGAUUUCUGUGGUCUGUGUAUGAUCUAUGCAGACGUGUGUAAAUGUGUACAUUGGUGGGUGUGUUCAGAGACUACAUAAUGAAAUCCCGUGUUGUCAUCUGUUGCUCACUCCCUUAUUCCCUGGAGCUCAGGUCUUUCUCUGAACCUGAUAUUUUCUCUUUGGGCUAAUCUGGCUGUCCAGCAAUCUUGGGAUCUCCUGUCCUCCAAGGUAGACCUUCUGUCUUGUUUAUUCUCAUCCAAAACCUACAAGUUUCAAUUGCUCAGAAAAAGGAAGGAUGUAGUAGCUUUCUCUUUCUUCAUUUACUUCUAUUGUUUUGAUGUUAAUGUGGUUUCUAAUAAAUAACAAAAAUCAAACAAUACAGAUGUUUUAAAAAUAAACAGUAGGCACAGAGCUAAAACCACAGGAAAUGCCUGGUUUGUCUCAUUGACUUCACAACACAGAAUCCCACAGUGCAUCUUCUUGUUGACAUUGUGUUUUGACUACAUCAUGUGCAUGGCUGUAUCUUAGAACAUUUCCCUCUCAUAGCUGUGUAGAGUGCUGCAUUCUUGAAAAGCUGUGUAGGUCACUUCACUGGCCUCUUUCUGACUGACAUUGGGGCUAUUUUCAUAUCACAUGCACUGCAACCUGUUACAAACUUCCUGGGUUUUGACCAUGGGUCACUUUCUUUCUCUUGAACUAGGCAGGGUCUUCUGUGUAGGAGCCAGGGGAGGUUUAGUGAAGAGACUGCGAUGGAUCAACUUGGAAGCCAUGUGAUCAGUGAGUCUUGGGAUAGAUAAAGCUCAUGAAAGUAAAAGUAAGUGCAGGCCAGGGUAGCAGAGCCUGGCUGAGUCUAAGAGCCUUGUAGACAGCAGAGUGGACCCACUCCCUCCCCCUGCAGAAGACUUUCUGAAAGGCAGCCUUUUCUACCUGGACAUUCUGGGAUCAGAAGUGUGUGUGUGUGUGUGUGUGUGUGUGUGUGUGUGUGUGUGUGUGUGUGUGUGUGUGUGUGUGUGCUUGUGCUGUGUGUAUGCUCUGUGAUGCAUUUCUGUACAUCUCUGUUUGUGUGUGUGGACCUAUAUGUGUGUUUUUGUGUGUCUCUGUGUGUGUCUGCUGCCUCUGUGUAUCAUGCUGUAUGCAUGAUAGUGUCAUUUUGUGUGUGUGGGUGUGUGUGUGUGUAUGUGUGCUCAUGUGUGAUUGUCUGUGUCCAUGGUUCCUGCAUGUAUAGGUUUAAGUGCUGGUGUGUGUAUGUUUGUGUGUAUGGAUGCUUAUAUGUGCAAGUAUGUGUUUGGAUGCAUCAAUAUGUUCACUUUUUUGUGUAUGAAGCAUCUUUAAUGAUAAUAGAGUCCAACUUUGUUGAAAAAGUACUUUGCACACUCACUUUGCAUCCAUCUAAUAUUGUAUGCUGCUGCCCAUCUUUCCACAUGUCCACUUUGCUCUCUAGGACAAAAAGGACACAAAACUACUCUAAGUCAAUGGUUUUCAGGUAAUUGUAGAGGGAAUAAUAUUUAUCUACAAGAAAAGUCUUUGGAGGAUACCAAAGAAAUAUAGUACAGGAAGAUGAGGAGGAAGCUUCUGUGGCAAUCAAGGUGUCUGAGAGGCAAGGAGCAAGAGAGCCUGGAUGAAAGACUAAAGGACCUGUUGAAGCAGGAGGAGCUGGUAACCCAGCAAAAGGACAUGGCAGAAAAGAUGCAACAUCACUUCAACGUCUCUGAGAUAAGGAUCUCCUAGAUGGUCUACAUUCAAUUUCCCAGGCUGCUCACAUUCACCUGGUAUCUAAUCAAGGCCAUGCAUUUUCUGACAGUUUAAUGUCGAUGGCUUUGGCAAGCUGACUGAGCCCUCAGUCCUCUCUAGGUGGAGGGAAAUCUGUCAUGGAAGACUGUUGAUGUCAAGCUGUUCCUGACAGACUACACCAAAACCCAUAAUUUUCAUUCUCCAGGCCAGUGUUGAAGCUGACUCCAUGUCCUGCACAAGCGUUGCUGAAGACAAUGCACCACAGAGAUCUCCACUGUCCCUCAUUCCCCGGGUUAGACACUUUUUCCUGCAUAUUUAAAAUCAGUGGGUAUGUCUCCAUUUCUCAGCCUCAACUGAAUUGCCUGGUCCUGAGAAAGGAUUUAUAGAAGACAUCUGAGUCAUCUUUGAUGUUUUUUGGUAUUCAGAUGCUGCCCACAUAUUUGUGGAGUCUCUAAUAAGCACACAAGUGUCUGUAUGCUGAAAGAAUCAAAUAGUGACCAAGACAUUACAGGAUCAGCAGUGGGUGAUAAUUUAUCAAAAGCUUCCCAGAGGGGCACAAAGAAUGCUCUAGAAAAUCUCUCAUUCUUAGUCUCAGUAAGGGCUUGGCCUACAAAGCCUGCAGGAGGCAUGGCUACAGUAGCUUUGAAAAAGGCUUUCACAUUCGCUGACUGCCUUCCUACCAUGUUUCCAAGGCCAGUCACAGGCUGUAGGUCUGUGCUGCUAAAAGUGCAGCAAGAGAAUGCUGCUGGCCUUAAUUGUUUUUGUUUUUGUUUUUGGUUGGGUUUUGUUUGCUUUGGGAUUUCUUGUUAUAGAUUGAGAUUUUGAUAUUUAUUUUUUCUUUCUUUUGAUCUUGUAGUUUUUUGGGUAUUUUGAUAAGGCUGUUCACUGUUUAUAUUGACUUUUCCCUUUAAGCCCCUAUUGAGUAAUAUUACUGUGUUUUUAUUAAUAAUAAAGUGAUUUUGAACUUUUGUGUCUUAGAACCUA